rnacentral:rRNA from 1 species
GACGAACGCUGGCGGCGUGCUUAACACAUGCAAGUCGAACGGAAAGGCCCUGCUUUUGUGGGGUGCUCGAGUGGCGAACGGGUGAGUAACACGUGAGUAACCUGCCCUUGACUUUGGGAUAACUUCAGGAAACUGGGGCUAAUACCGGAUAGGAGCUCCUGCUGCAUGGUGGGGGUUGGAAAGUUUCGGCGGUUGGGGAUGGACUCGCGGCUUAUCAGCUUGUUGGUGGGGUAGUGGCUUACCAAGGCUUUGACGGGUAGCCGGCCUGAGAGGGUGACCGGCCACAUUGGGACUGAGAUACGGCGCAGACUCCUACGGGAGGCAGCAGUGGGGAGUAUUGCACAAUGGGCGGAAGCCUGAUGAAGCAACGCCGCGUGCGGGAUGACGGCCUUCGGGUUGUAAACCGCUUUCGCCUGUGACGAAGCGUGAGUGACGGUAAUGGGUAAAGAAGCACCGGCUAACUACGUG